UGCUUUUUGAAUAUCUAAAAAGUAUUACCUGCCCAAUGAUUUAUUUAAUGGCCGCAGUAUAUUGACUGUGCAAAGGUAGCAUAAUCAUUUGCUUUAUAAAUUAAAGCUUGUAUGAAUGGUCUAAUGUAAAUAUAACUGUCUUUUAUUUAUAAAUAAAACUUGCUUUUUCAGUGAAGAAGCUGAAACAGUUUAAAAAGACGAGAAGACCCUAAUGAGUUUUUCAUUUAUUGAAUAUAAUUAUAUUAAUAGAUGUUUAAUUGGGGCGAUUAAAGAAUAAAUCUUCUUUUUAAAAAAUGUAAUAAUAAUUAAUGAACCAUUAUUAAUGAAUAAAAAUUAAAUUACCAUAGGGAUAACAGCAUAAUUUUUUUUAAGAGUACAUAUUGACAAAAAAGAUUGUGACCUCGAUGUUGGUUUAAGAAAAUUUUAUAAUGUAGAAGUUAUACAAAUAAGUCUGUUCGACUUUUAAAAUCUUACA
rnacentral:rRNA from 1 species